CCGGAAUCAUCAUCUUCAUCGGUUUCUUCCAUCUCGGGCAUUGUCAAUGGAUAGUGAUCUCUGCAAAAUCCUUGUCAAAUAUACAAAUGCGGAAUGUUGAAUUCCCUUCAUAUCCGAAAACUAACGAAUGACAGCAGUCUAGAGAGUAAAACUUUGAGAACUUUGGCCAACCCUCGCCGAACCAGACCUCACCCUCCCAUAUUCUGAAUUAUAUUUUCCACUCUGAACCAGUUGGAAGCUUAAUAAAUACUGGAUUCGAAAGAUCAUCUCCAUAUUUCCUAAAAAAUUUGUUUGGAAUCCUCUGCACAACACAGAACUUAUCACGAAACUCUUUGUUUAGUGAAAACAAUUAUCGGAUCUUUGUGGCUAUGAAAUAUAUGGGUACAUUAACUGCAUCAAAUCCCAUUAAGUCAGACUCUUCAUUGUGAGAGGGGUUAAAUACUUUGGUGCCAUUUGAUAACCAUUUCAUUUUCAUCAAGGUAUUGAAGAGAUUUCAUGUGACAAAUGCUGCUUGGAAGACUCUCAAGUUCUCUGCAAUCAUUCAGCCUCAGAGUAACAAGAUUGGUGAGAUUUAAAACUGACGCAGGCAGCUCCUCAAUUGCAGUGCCACCCAAAUAAAGCUCAGACAACAUAUUCAUAACCUCUGAAAUUUCUGGAAAUUUCUCAAAGUUUUGAGGACCCAGAAACACAAGGUAUUGAAGAGAUUUCAUGUGACAAAUGCUGCUUAGAAGACUCUCAAGUUCUCUGCAAUCAUUCAGCCACAAGUGUAACAAGAUUGGUGAGAUUUAAAACUGACGCAGGUAGUUCCUUAAUUGCAGUGCCACCCAAAUAAAGCUCAAACAACAUAUUCAUAACCUCUGAAAUUUUUGGAAAUUUCUCAAGUUUUGAGGACCCAGAAACACAAGGUAUUGAAGAGAUUUCAUGUGACAAAUGCUGCUUGGAAGACUCUCAAGUUCUCUGCAAUCAUUCAGCCUCAGAGUAACAAGAUUGGUGAGAUUUAUAACUGACGCAGGCAGUUCCUUAAUUGCAGUGCCACCCAAAUCAAGCUCAGAUAGCAUAUUCAUAACCUCUGAAAUUUCUGGAAAUUUCUCAAGGUUUGAGGACCCAGAAACAUCAAGGUAUUGAAGAGAUUUCAUUUGACAAAUGCUGCUUGGAAGACUCUCAAGUUCUCUGCAAUCAUUCAGCCUCAGAGUAACAAGAUUGGUGAGAUUUAAAAUUGAUGCAGGCAGUUCCUUAAUUGCAGUGCCACCCAUAUAAAGCUCAGAUAGCAUAUUCAUAACCUCUGAUAUUUCUGGAAACUUUUUAAGGUUUGAGCACCCAGAAACAUCAAGGUAUUGAAGAGAUUUCAUUUGACAAAUGCUGCUUGGAAGACUCUCAAGUUCUCUGCAAUCAUUCAGCCUCAGAGUAACAAGAUUGGUGAGAUUUAAAAUUGACGCAGGCAGUUCCUUAAUUGCAGUGCCACCCAAAUAGAGCUUAGAUAGCAUAUUCAUAACCUCUGAAAUUUCUGGGAACUUCUUAAGGUUUGAGCACCCAAAAACAUCAAGGUAUUGAAGAGAUUUCAUGUGACAAAUGCUGCUUGGAACACUCUCAAGUUCUUUGCAAUCAUUCAGCCUCAGUGUAACAAGAUUGGUGAGAUUUAAAACUGACGCAUGCAGUUCCUUAAUUGCAGUGCCACCCAAAUAAAGCUCAGAUAGCAUAUUCAUAACCUCUGAAAUUUCUGGAAACUUCUUAAGGUUUGAGCACCCAGAAACAUCAAGGUAUUGAAGAGAUUUCAUGUGACAAAUGUUGCUUAGAAGACUCUCAAGUUCUCUGCAAUCAUUCAGCAAUAGCGUAAGAAGAUUGGUGAGAUUUAAAACUGACGCAGGCAAUUCCUUAAUUGCAGUGCCAUCCAAAUAAAGCCAAGACAGCUUAGUCAUAACCUCUGAAAUUUCUGGAAACUUCUCAAGAUUUGAGCAUCCAGAAACAUGAAGGUAUUGAAGAGAUUUCAUUCGACAAAUGCUGCUUGGAAGACUCUCAAGUUCUCUGCAAUCAUCCAGCGUCAAUGUAACAAGAUUGGUGAGAUUUAAAACUGACACAG
rnacentral:lncRNA from 1 species